UGGUAGAUGCACCCUGAUAACUCACCCCCCUGGUUGGUUGCCACCCGCUGGGGGAUUUUUUC
rnacentral:sRNA from 1 species